rnacentral:lncRNA from 1 species
GCGAACCACUUCCCCAACCAAGAGGGUCAAACCACAGGCCACCUGGGUAUCCAACAUCAGUCCCGGUGAGCUUGUUGUUAGGGAAGAUGGGGUCUGUGUUUACACACCCUGGCUUGAGAAUGUCAGCCCAUCUUCUCCCUUCAGCCCAGCCGAUAAAAAUAAGCUCAACGAUGAAGAGAGUUGUGGUGUCAGUGAAGUAUUCCUCUGUUCCAGCUGAGUACCACGAUGGAGUGUUUAAAAUCCCAAUCUUGGUUAAGAACUCUGGGAUGAAAAUACCAGCAGCUCCCAACAUUGCCCAUCUGCAGUGAACCAGCUCUGCUUGUACGUUCCAUCUCAAUGUCUCAGGGUCAGACCCUGUUACAACACCCCCAUUAUAGAUACUUAUAUUUGCCUUUGGUUCAAAUGACUGUUGAGGUACUGAUAGGGAUUAAACUUACC